GCAGUAGGGAAUCUUCCACAAUGGACGCAAGUCUGAUGGAGCAACGCCGCGUGAGUGAAGAAGGGUUUCGGCUCGUAAAGCUCUGUUGGUAGUGAAGAAAGAUAGAGGUAGUAACUGGCCUUUAUUUGACGGUAAUUACCUAGAAAGUCACGGCUAACUACGUGCCAGCAGCCGCGGUAAUACGUAGGUGGCAAGCGUUGCCCGGAUUUAUUGGGCGUAAAGCGAGUGCAGGCGGUUCAAUAAGUCUGAUGUGAAAGCCUUCGGCUCAACCGGAGAAUUGCAUCAGAAACUGUUGAACUUGAGUGCAGAAGAGGAGAGUGGAACUCCAUGUGUAGCGGUGGAAUGCGUAGAUAUAUGGAAGAACACCAGUGGCGAAGGCGGCUCUCUGGUCUGCAACUGACGCUGAGGCUCGAAAGCAUGGGUAGCGAACAGGAUUAGAUACCCUGGUAGUCCAU
rnacentral:rRNA from 1 species